GACGAACGCUGGCGGCGUGCUUAACACAUGCAAGUCGAGCGGUAAGGCCCUUCGGGUACACGAGCGGCGAACGGGUGAGUAACACGUGGGCAACCUGCCCCGAGCUCUGGGAUAACCCCGGGAAACCGGGGCUAAUACCGGAUAUGGCACCGACCGACAUCUGUCGGUGUGGAAAGAUUUAUCGGCUCGGGAUGGGCCCGCGGCCUAUCAGCUUGUUGGUGGGGUAACGGCCUACCAAGGCGACGACGGGGUAGCCGGCCUGAGAGGGCGACCGGCCACACUGGGACUGAGACACGGCCCAGACUCCUACGGGAGGCAGCAGUGGGGAAUAUUGCGCAAUGGGCGAAAGCCUGACGCAGCGACGCCGCGUGA
rnacentral:rRNA from 1 species